UACGGAGGGUGCAAACGUUGCUCGGAAUCAUUGGGCGUAAAGCGCACGUAGGCGGACUGUUAAGUCGGACGUGAAAUCCCUCAGCUUAACUGAGGAAGUGCAUUCGAAACUGGCAGUCUUGAGUACGGGAGAGGGUCGCGGAAUUCCCGGUGUAGAGGUGAAAUUCGUAGAUAUCGGGAGGAACACCAGUGGCGAAGGCGGCGGCCUGGACCGAUACUGACGCUGAGGUGCGAAAGCGGUGGGGAGCAAACAGGG
rnacentral:rRNA from 1 species